UAAGGAAUAUUGCUCAAUGGGAGAAAUCCUGAAGCAGCAACGCCGCGUGGAGGAUGAAGGGUCUAUGACUUGUAAACUCCUGUAAAGAAGGAAAAAAUUCCCAUUAGAUGGGAGAUGAUGGUACUUCUGGAGUAAGCCCCGGCUAACUACGUGCCAGCAGCCGCGGUAAUACGUAGGGGGCAAGCGUUGUCCGGAUUUACUGGGUGUAAAGGGUGCUCAGGCGGAUUUGUAAGUCAGAGGUGAAAUCUUACAGCUUAACUGUGAAACUGCCUUUGAGACUGCAAGCCUAGAGUAUGGAAGAGAGAGAUGGAAUAUCUGGUGUAGCAGUGAAAUGCGUAGAUAUCAGAUAGAACACCAAUGGCGAAGGCAGUCACUUGGUCCAUUACUGACGCUAAAGCACGAAAGCGUGGGUAGCAAACA
rnacentral:rRNA from 1 species